rnacentral:rRNA from 1 species
AUGAACGCUAGCGAUAGGCUUAACCCCUGCAAGUCGCGGGGCAGCAUGGUCUUAGCUUGCUAAGGCUGAUGGCGACCGGCGCACGGGUGCGUAACGCGUAUGCAACUUGCCUCACAGAGGGGGAUAACCCGUCGAAAGACGGACUAAUACCGCGUACACUCUAUGUUGGGCAUCCAAUGUAGAGGAAAUGAAAUUCGCUGUGAGAUAGGCAUGCGUCCCAUUAGCUAGUUGGUGAGGUAACGGCUCACCAAGGCGACGAUGGGUAGGGGAACUGAGAGGUUGAACCCCCACACUGGUACUGAGACACGGACCAGACUCCUACGGGAGGCAGCAGUGAGGAAUAUUGGUCAAUGGGCGAGAGCCUGAACCAGCCAAGUCGCGUGAAGGAUGACUGUCUUAUGGAUUGUAAACUUCUUUUAUACGGGAAUAACAAGAGUCACGUGUGGCUCCCUGCAUGUACCGUAUGAAUAAGCAUCGGCUAACUCCGUG